rnacentral:lncRNA from 1 species
UCAGUAACUAAGAACUUGGUGCCCUGUGUCUUUUUGUCAGACUUGCCUCUUCCUGCCUACAACUGUUGCCAACUCUGGAACAGCUGAGCUGGAAUAAAGAAAUACCCCAGAGGACYGGAGAGCCCCUGUGGAUAGAUCUAUUCUUCUUUUCAGCCCGCACCUACCUCCCUGCUAGGGAAGAAAAGACCCCCUGCUGCAGAGGAGAGCACCAACGUGGCAGCUUUCACUUCUGUUCCACCAAACACUUCCAAGAGCAGUUUUCUCUCAGAGCUGUUCUCCUGACUGGAAAAUGUGGAGUCCUUGGAAAUGCUCAUGAAGUAAUGAAGCAAGGACCACAGCCAUCUGGAGGGAGAUGUGCCAAAGGAGUCACAGCCAUCACCCUGCAAUUUGUACAGCCUCGAUAAGAAACAUGAAGGUAACUUCUACAGAUAAA